UACGAAGGGGGCUAGCGUUGCUCGGAAUGACUGGGCGUAAAGGGCGCGUAGGCGGAUGGCACAGUCAGAUGUGAAAUUCCCGGGCUUAACCUGGGGGCUGCAUUUGAUACGUGUGAUCUAGAGUGAGGAAGAGGGUCGUGGAAUUCCCAGUGUAGAGGUGAAAUUCGUAGAUAUUGGGAAGAACACCGGUGGCGAAGGCGGCUCACUGGCUCAUAUCUGACGCUCAGGCGCGACAGCGUGGGGAUCAAACAGG
rnacentral:rRNA from 1 species